UUCUCUUUUCGAGGUGUUGUAGCUGGCUUAAGAGGGCAGAUGGAAGCAUCUGCCUCAGGGGCAGGUGAGCGGGCAGAGGUGUCUCGCACAGACUCAAAGGAGCAAACUGCAUUCUGAAGAGCUGUGUAAGAAGGGGGCUGGUCAUGAGCUUGGUUGGAGUGAAAUGGCUAAGGAGUAUGAGGUGAAGAGGUGCCUGAAGCCGUGUCUCGUGUGGGCUGAGGACGCCUCACUGAGGAUGAAGCCUGCUUUCCAGCAGGUCCCAAAGCUGUGUUGGCGCUGAAAUGUUGUGUCUGUAUUUGGGUUGGGGUUGUGCCUUGGUGAGUGUGGGGAUGGGUUUUAAGUCGGUGCAGCAGAUAUGUAUAUAAAUGAAAUUCACAUAAGUGAUAUAUGAUGAAGUAUUGUGAAUCCUUGAACUUCUAGCCUACAUUAGCUAAUAUGUAUGGAGUUGCAUGAAACAUUGAGAAGCAGCUUCUAAUAAGCAGGUUUUUGUUGUCAUUAACUCAGCCCAUGCCUUUGCCAUACGUAAAGAUCAAGACAAACUACCUUUUUACACAGGAACUGCUGUGGGUGCACAGAAAGUCCUAGAGGACAUUUAGGGCUGUAUUUUGGUUCCCAAAGUGUUUUUACCUGGUCCAACUGAUUUAUAUUGGCCGAGCCUCUUCAUAGGGUCCCUGUGUGGUUGCAGAGCCUAGCCACGGUGUUUCCA